rnacentral:rRNA from 1 species
CUCGGAACUGCAUUUGAAACUGGUGAACUAGAGUACUGUAGAGGGGGGUAGAAUUUCAGGUGUAGCGGUGAAAUGCGUAGAGAUCUGAAGGAAUACCAGUGGCGAAGGCGGCCCCCUGGACAGAUACUGACACUCAGAUGCGAAAGCGUGGGGAGCAAACAGGAUUAGAUACCCUGGUAGUCCACGCCGUAAACGAUGUCUACUUGGAGGUUGUGGCCUUGAGCCGUGGCUUUCGGAGCUAACGCGUUAAGUAGACCGCCUGGGGAGUACGGUCGCAAGAUUAAAACUCAAAUGAAUUGACGGGGGCCCGCACAAGCGGUGGAGCAUGUGGUUUAAUUCGAUGCAACGCGAAGAACCUUACCUACUCUUGACAUCCAGAGAAGCCAGCGGAGACGCAGGUGUGCCUUCGGGAGCUCUGAGACAGGUGCUGCAUGGCUGUCGUCAGCUCGUGUUGUGAAAUGUUGGGUUAAGUCCCGCAACGAGCGCAACCCUUAUCCUUGUUUGCCAGCGAGUAAUGUCGGGAACUCCAGGGAGACUGCCGGUGAUAAACCGGAGGAAGGUGGGGACGACGUCUAGUCAUCAUGGCCCUUACGAGUAGGGCUACACACGUGCUACAAUGGCGCAUACAGAGGGCAGCAAGCUAGCGAUAGUGAGCGAAUCCCAAAAAGUGCGUCGUAGUCCGGA